GGGUCAGUAGGUUGGUCGUGCCACCGGUACGUACUGGUCUCACUGAUUCCUCCUUCCUGAUGAGCUGUAAUGCCAUUAAUUUGGUGUUGCAGGGAAUCUGGACUGUUACUUUGAAAAAUUAGAGUGUUUAAAGCAGGCUAACGCUUGAAUACAUUAGCAUGGAAUAAUGAAAUAGGACGUUCGAUCCUAUUUUGUUGGUUUCUAGGAUUGACGUAAUGAUUA
rnacentral:rRNA from 1 species